rnacentral:rRNA from 1 species
UACGGGGGGGGCAAGCGUUGUUCGGAAUUACUGGGCGUAAAGGGCUCGUAGGUGGCCAACUAAGUCGGACGUGAAAUCCCUCGGCUUAACCGGGGAACUGCGUCCGAUACUGGUUGGCUUGAGUUUGGGAGAGGGAUGCGGAAUUCCAGGUGUAGCGGUGAAAUGCGUAGAUAUCUGGAGGAACACCGGUGGCGAAGGCGGCAUCCUGGACCAAUACUUACGCUGAGGAGCGAAAGCCAGGGGAGCAAACGGG